AGCAGCCGCGGUAAUUCCAGCUCCAAUAGCGUAUAUUAAAGUUGUUGCAGUUAAAAAGCUCGUAGUUGAAUUUCGGGGUUAGUAGGUUGGUCAUGCCUCUGGUAUGUACUGGUCUCACUGAUUCCUCCUUCCUGAUGAGCCGUAAUGCCAUUAAUUUGGUGUUGCGGGGAAUUUGGACUGUUACUUUGAAAAAAUUAGAGUGUUUAAAGCAGGCUCGCGCUUGAAUACAUUAGCAUGGAAUAAUGAAAUAGGACGUUGACCCUAUUUUGUUGGUUUCUUAGGAUUGACGUAAUGAUUAAUAGGGAUAGUUGGGGGCGAUUAGUAUUCAAUUGUCAGAGGUGAAAUUCUUGGAUUUAUUGAAGACUAACUACUGCGAAAGCAUUUGCCAAGGAUGUUUUCAUUAAUCAAGAACGAAAGUUAGGGGAUCGAAGACGAUCAGAUACCGUCGUAGUCUUAACCAUAAACUAUGCCGACUAGGGAUCGGAUGAUGUUAUUUUUAAUGACUCAUUCGGCGCCUUAC
rnacentral:rRNA from 1 species